CAUUAAUCACCGCUUUAGGCUGAGGUGGGCAGAGGCGUCAGGCGAAGCAGCACAGCCACUCAUUAUUAUUAUUAUUUAUAUGGUAAUGAGGGUAUGACCUCGUGAAUGAUGGUUACGAUUUGGUCUACAUAAGGCGUUUCGGCUUGGGCAGAGUGUGUGUAGAGUUUCUCGGGGUCCUGACAACAUGGAUUUUUACCUGGUCUUCCUGAACAACGAAAACUAACACCAGUAAACCAGGUUCAGUAUCCAGACUUCUCAAGCACCACAGCUCUUCAGGGUCAAGCACAUCAGUGUUGUUCCUUCAGCAUUGAUACCCAAAUAUCGUCCUUUGUAUAGCAACUCCCCCACAUCUUGGUCACCAUCACUAGCCACCAAAUGAUACUUUGGUUUACCUGUGGGAACUUGGUCAGCAUCAACAGUUGUGUGUAAAGGAAGAUAACUGUUAGACACUUGGCCAAGAUCCUUGACAGGAAGCAGAGUUGUGGUCUUAAUAUCUCAGAGUAACCUGAUGGACAGAAGAUGUGCAUCUCUUGCUGUGCUGUAAUGAACAUUUAAGUCUUCAUCCCCACCAGGCAAUUUUCUUCUGGGCAAAAUACUACAACUUAAUUGAAGUUAGAUGGUGUGACAGGCAAAUAAGUAAUCACCAAGAACAUGGGGGAUGAUCCAAAUAUUUUCACUGGGAACUUUUAAUAACUGGUCAUGGAUCUGGUGAAUGGUGCAGCACUUCCAUUUACAGGCUGUACUUAUGUAAAGAAUGUGGUUAGGGUUUAAAAAAAAAAGUCACUGUCUGUCUUUGUAUGUUAAGAGGCAUUUUCUGUGCCAGGUUAUCAAAGGUACUGUAGUGAGGUGAAGGAAUGUACAAAAGGUAUACAGUACUAGUGAAUACCUGUGUUGUGUAACAGUUAGGUAGCAUUCUUCUAGUCAUGUCACCUGAGAAUGUGUUUCUAAAAGUAUUGUUAGAUAAAUAUAGUAUGAUUGCUUGACCUUUUCAAUAUUAUCCCUACCCCCUUAAGUACUAUGAAUUAACCAUUGAGUAGAUUAAUGUCCCUCAUCCAUCAUGUAUCAUGCUUUUGGACUUAUAUUUGAUUACCUAUUCUUGUAGAUGAUAGAUGGACUCUGGGUUAAAGCUCAGGGUUAACUCAUUGUACUGAUGGAUCAAUGCAGUGUACAGUAUAAAGGAAUUUGAUCUUGGUUGGUAAGCAAAAUACACACGUGAUUUAGUAUACUAUAACGUAUUAGUGUGAGGAACUGUAGAGUCUCACUAAUAAAUUAUAUAGAAUAUUGAUAAAAUGCUAUGUCUCUUUUUAGGCUUCAUUGUAAGAUAGAAUUAAAGUAAUAUCAUAUUUUAUUUCUUGUCACUGAAAUAGUUAUAAAUCAGCAUAUAGUAUUUUCCUCAGGCUAUCAGCAUUAUGUACUUUUAAAUUAAAAAUGUAUCAUAACCAAUCUUGUAAUUUUUUAUUAUUAUUAUUAUAUAUUCUGUCUAUUCCAUUUAUUAUCUUUACUCCUUUCCUUGUUUUUGUGUUGGAAUGGAUCAAAGUGCAUAGAACUACCUGUACUGUGUCUCAUAUAUAACUCAACAAUACAGCUGUAUCUGAAGUGAACACAGUACAAGUUAUCUUACGAGGUGGAUGAUAAACUGUUUAGGCUCUUUAUAACACUGUAUUACUAGUUGCUGUCAUAAUUCGUUUUAACAAUUCUCUUGUACAGUACCACAUCCGUAUCUACCACCACCCCUCUUCAUCUCUGAUCCAUCCCCUAAACAUGGGAGAGGAGUAAAAGACGGCAUAAAUUCACGGCUACUUACCAACAGUUAUAAAAUAGAAGCAAAACAUCAUAUUACAAUCUCUUGUGUGAUAUUUAUUACUGAACAACAAGAGUAUUGUGCUUUCAUUAGCAUCAAUCAGUCAACAAAAGAGCCAGCCUCCUGUCUGGGGGUUGCCAAUCACAGCCCACCACUUCAAUAUUCACUCUCAGGCUGUCUUUACUAGUUUUCCCUGAAAUAAUAACUCUUCAGAAACCUCAACUUUUAAGUUUGUUUACCCAUCUCAGUCUUCACCUUCCCCUGACCCUCCUAACCUCCAAUUUACCCAUUAUUCUCUCUAUAUCAACAUCAUCUCAUCUCUAACUAUAUGAAUAGAACAACUGAUAAUUCUUGUUUAAUGUUCUAAUGUCGAAAUGUUGGAUCCUUAGUAAACUUAUGUGCGUAAUUUAUGACCAACACAAUCUUAAUACGUAAUAUGAGAACUAUAGGGUGUCUCAGAAGAAUGUACAGUACUUAUCGAGG
rnacentral:misc_RNA from 1 species